rnacentral:rRNA from 1 species
CUCCGGUGAUCCCCGCCGGACCCGACUGCUAUCAGAGUGGGACUAAGCCAUGCGAGUCAACAUAGCAAUAUGUGGCAUACGGCUCAGUAACACGUAGUCAACAUGCCCAGGGGACGUGGAUAACCUCGGGAAACUGAGGAUAAACCGCGAUAGGUCAUCACUUCUGGAAUGGGUAAUGACUUAAAUCUAUAUGGCCCCUGGAUUGGACUGCGGCCGAUCAGGCUGUUGGUGAGGUAAUGGCCCACCAAACCUGUAACCGGUACGGGCUCUGAGAGGAGGAGCCCGGAGAUGGGCACUGAGACAAGGGCCCAGGCCCUAUGGGGCGCAGCAGGCGCGAAACCUCUGCAAUAGGCGAAAGCUUGACAGGGUUACUCUGAGUGAUUUCCGUUAAGGAGAUCUUUUGGCACCUCUAAAAAUGGUGCAGAAUAAGGGGUGGGCAAGUCUGGUGUCAGCCGCCGCGGUAAUACCAGCACCCCGAGUGGUCGGGACGUUUAUUGGGCCUAAAGCAUCCGUAGCCGGUUCUACAAGUCUUCCGUUAAAUCCACCUGCUUAACAGAUGGGCUGCGGAAGAUACUAUAGAGCUAGGAGGCGGGAGAGGCAAGCGGUACUCGAUGGGUAGGGGUAAAAUCCGUUGAUCCAUUGAAGACCACCAGUGGCGAAGGCGGCUUGCCAGAACGCGCUCGACGGUGAGGGAUGAAAGCUGGGGGAGCAAACCGGAUUAGAUACCCGGGUAGUCCCAGCCGUAAACGAUGCAGACUCGGUGAUGGGUUGGCUUCGCGCUAACCCAGUGCCGCAGGGAAGCCGUUAAGUCUGCCGCCUGGGUAGUACGGUCGCAAGACUGAAACUUAAAGGAAUUGGCGGGGGAGCA